UACGGAGGGUGCAAGCGUUAUCCGGAUUCACUGGGUUUAAAGGGUGCGUAGGAGGGUUGGUAAGUCAGUGGUGAAAUCUCCGAGCUUAACUUGGAAACUGCCGUUGAUACUAUCAAUCUUGAAUAUCGUGGAGGUGAGCGGAAUAUGUCAUGUAGCGGUGAAAUGCUUAGAUAUGACAUAGAACACCAAUUGCAAAGGCAGCUCGCUACACGAAUAUUGACUCUGAGGCACGAAAGCGUGGGGAUCAAACAGG
rnacentral:rRNA from 1 species